UUACAACUGUGUAUGCUAUGA
rnacentral:piRNA from 1 species